rnacentral:rRNA from 1 species
GAUGAACGCUGGCGGCGUGCCUAAUACAUGCAAGUCGAGCGAACAGACGAGGAGCUUGCUCCACUGACGUUAGCCGCGGAAGGGUGAGUAACACGUGGAUAACCUACCUAUAAGACUGGGAUAAAUUCGGGAAACCGGAGCUAAUACCGGAUAAUAUAUUGAACCGCAUGGUUCAAUAGUGAAAGACGGUUUUGCUGUCACUUAUAGAUGGAUCCGCGCCGCAUUAGCUAGUUGGUAAGGUAACGGCUUACCAAGGCAACGAUGCGUAGCCGACCUGAGAGGGUGAUCAGCCACACUGGAACUGAGACACGGCCCAGACUCCUACGGGAGGCAGCAGUAGGGAAUCUUCCGCAAUGGGCGAAAGCCUGACGGAGCAACGCCGCGUGCAUGAUGAAGGUCUUCGGGUCGUAAAACUCUGUUAUUAGGGAAGAACAAAUGUGUUAGUAACUAUGCGCGUCUUGACGGUACCGAAUCAGAAAGCCACGGCUAACUACGUG